rnacentral:rRNA from 1 species
UUGCAGGUCGAACGGCAGCACGGGUAGCAAUACCUGGUGGCGAGUGGCGCACGGGUGCGUAACACGUAUGCAAUCUACCUUUAACUGGGGAAUAACCCCUCGAAAGAGGGGCUAAUACCGCAUAACACCUUGCUGGGACAUCCCAAAGAAGUCAAACCUACGGGGGUUAAAGAUGAGCAUGCGUCCGAUUAGCUAGUUGGCGGGGUAACGGCCCACCAAGGCAACGAUCGGUAGGGGAUCUGAGAGGAUGAUCCCCCACACUGGUACUGAGACACGGACCAGACUCCUACGGGAGGCAGCAGUAAGGAAUAUUGGACAAUGGGCGCAAGCCUGACCCAGCCAUGCCGCGUGCAGGAUGAAAGUGCUCUGCACUGUAAACUGCUUUUACUUGGGAAAAAACCCCUGGUCUACACCGGGGCUGAUUGUACCGAGAGAAUAAGGGACGGCUAACUUCGUGCCAGCAGCCGCGGUAAUACGAAGGUCCCAAGCGUUAUCCGGAUUUAUUGGGUUUAAAGGGUGCGUAGGCGGACUAUUAAGUCAGUGGUGAAAGCCCCAAGCUUAACUUGGGAACUGCCAUUGAUACUGAUGGUCUUGAGUACAUUUGAGGUGGGCGGAAUGUGUCAUGUAGCGGUGAAAUGCUUAGAUAUGACACAGAACACCGAUUGCGAAGGCAGCUCACUAAACUGUAACUGACGCUGAGGCACGAAAGCGUGGGGAGCAAACAGGAUUAGAUACCCUGGUAGUCCACGCCCUAAACGAUGAUCACUCGAUGUGUGCGAUAUACUGUACGCGUCUGAGCGAAAGCAUUAAGUGAUCCACCUGGGGAGUACGACCGCAAGGUUGAAACUCAAAGGAAUUGACGGGGGCCCGCACAAGCGGAGGAGCAUGUGGUUUAAUUCGAUGAUACGCGAGGAACCUUACCAGGG